GACGAACCGUGCGAACGUUAUUCGGAAUCACUGGGCGUAAAGGGUGCGUAGGCGGGGCUUUAAGUCAGGGGUGAAAUCCUGGAGCUCAACUCCAGAACUGCCUUUGAUACUGAAGAUCUUGAGUUCGGGAGAGGUGAGUGGAACUGCGAGUGUAGAGGUGAAAUUCGUAGAUAUUCGCAAGAACACCAGUGGCGAAGGCGGCUCACUGGCCCGAUACUGACGCUGAGGCACGAAAGCGUGGGGAGCAAACAGG
rnacentral:rRNA from 1 species